rnacentral:rRNA from 1 species
AACGAACGCUGGCGGCAUGCCUAACACAUGCAAGUCGAACGAGACCUUCGGGUCUAGUGGCGCACGGGUGCGUAACGCGUGGGAACCUGCCCUUAGGUUCGGAAUAACUCCCCGAAAGGGGUGCUAAUACCGGAUAAUGUCUUCGGACCAAAGAUUUAUCGCCUUUGGAUGGGCUCGCGUUGGAUUAGCUAGUUGGUAGGGUAAAAGCCUACCAAGGCGACGAUCCAUAGCUGGUCUGAGAGGAUGAUCAGCCACACUGGGACUGAGACACGGCCCAGACUCCUACGGGAGGCAGCAGUGGGGAAUAUUGGACAAUGGGCGAAAGCCUGAUCCAGCAAUGCCGCGUGAGUGAUGAAGGCCUUAGGGUUGUAAAGCUCUUUUACCCGGGAUGAUAAUGACAGUACCGGGAGAAUAAGCACCGGCUAACUCCGUG